rnacentral:rRNA from 1 species
GAUGAACGCUGGCGGCGUGCCUAAUACAUGCAAGUCGAGCGAACAGACGAGGAGCUUGCUCCUCUGACGUUAGCGGUGGACGGGUGAGUAACACGUGGAUAACCUACCUAUAAGACUGGGAUAACUUCGGGAAACCGGAGCUAAUACCGGAUAACAUGUUGAACCGCAUGGUUCAACAGUGAAAGACGGUCUUGCUGUCACUUAUAGAUGGAUCCGCGCCGCAUUAGCUAGUUGGUAAGGUAACGGCUUACCAAGGCAACGAUGCGUAGCCGACCUGAGAGGGUGAUCGGCCACACUGGAACUGAGACACGGUCCAGACUCCUACGGGAGGCAGCAGUAGGGAAUCUUCCGCAAUGGGCGAAAGCCUGACGGAGCAACGCCACGUGAGUGAAGAAGGUCUUCGGAUCGUAAAACUCUGUUAUUAGGGAAGAACAAAUGUGUAAGUAACUAUGCACGUCUUGACGGUACCUAAUCAGAAAGCCACGGCUAACUACGUG